UGGUGGUGAUGUCUGAACUCACGAUGGUCUUCAGAGUCCCCGCUGGUGAAGGGGCUGCUGACAACGCCAGUGGCAACUGCUGAACCAUCAGA
ensembl:snoRNA